ACCUGGGAAAUUGCCCAGUCGAGGGGGAUAACAGUUGGAAACGACUGCUAAUACCGCAUACGCCCUACGGGGGAAAGCAGGGGACCUUCGGGCCUUGCGCGAUUGGAUAUGCCCAGGUGGGAUUAGCUUGUUGGUGAGGUAAAAGCUCACCAAGGCGACGAUCUUUAGCUGGUCUGAGAGGAUGAUCAGCCACACUGGGACUGAGACACGGCCCAGACUCCUACGGGAGGCAGCAGUGGGGAAUAUUGGACAAUGGGCGCAAGCCUGAUCCAGCCAUGCCGCGUGCAGGAUGACGGUCCUAUGGAUUGUAAACUGCUUUUGUACAGGAAGAAACACUCCCUCGUGAGGGAGCUUGACGGUACUGUAAGAAUAAGGAUCGGCUAACUCCGUG
rnacentral:rRNA from 1 species